GACGAACGCUGGCGGCGUGCUUAACACAUGCAAGUGGAGCGACGAACCGGGCUUCGGCCCGGGGCAAAGCCGCGAACGGGUGAGUAACACGUGGGUAACCUGCCCCGAUGAUUGGGACAACCUCGGGAAACCGAGGCUAAUACCAAAUGUGCUCACGCCCCGCGAGGGGCGUGUGGAAAGGAAGCUUCGGCCUCCGCAUCGGGAUGGGCCCGCGGCGCAUUAGCUUGUUGGUGAGGUAAGGCCUCACCAAGGCUUCGAUGCGUAGCUGGUCUGAGAGGACGAUCAGCCACACUGGGACUGAGACACGGCCCAGACUCCUACGGGAGGCAGCAGUGGGGAAUCUUGCGCAAUGCGCGAAAGCGUGACGCAGCAACGCCGCGUGCGGGAAGACGGCCUUCGGGUUGUAAACCGCUUUCAGUUGGGACGAAGCUUCGUCGGUGAAUAGCCGGCCGGAGUGACGGUACCUUCAGAAGAAGCCCCGGCUAACUACGUGCCAGCCGCCGCUGUAAAAC
rnacentral:rRNA from 1 species